rnacentral:rRNA from 5 species
UAAACGACUCUCGGCAACGGAUAUCUCGGCUCACGCAUCGAUGAAGAACGUAGCAAAAUGCGAUACUUGGUGUGAAUUGCAGAAUCCCGUGAACCAUCGAGUUUUUGAACGCAAGUUGCGCCCGAAGCCAUUCGGCCGAGGGCACGUCUGCCUGGGCGUCACGCA